UACGUAGGGGGCGAGCGUUGUCCGAAGUUACUGGGCGUAAAGCGCGCGUAGGCGGCCACUUAAGUCCGGGGUGAAAGGUUCAGCGCUCAACGCGAACAGUGCCUUGGAUACUGGGUGGCUUGAGUCCGGGAGAGGGCAGUGGAAUUCCUGGUGUAGCGGUGAAAUGCGUAGAUAUCAGGAGGAACACCGGUGGCGAAAGCGACUUCCUGGUCCAAUACUGACGUUCAUGUGCGAAAGCGUGGGGAGCAAACAGG
rnacentral:rRNA from 1 species